GGCCUGUAGGUAAAUAAUUAUAGGUCUAGCCUGCCCAGUGAGGUAUUUCAACGGCCGCAGUAGCCUGACUGUGCUAAGGUAGCGCAAUCACUUGCCUUUUAAUUGGAGGCUGGUAUGAAUGGCUGGUCGAGGGUUUAGCUGUCUCUUUUAAGGCUUUAUAGAAAUUGCUUAUAGGUGCAGAAGCCUAGAUUUUAAUGAAAGACGAGAAGACCCUAAUGUGCUUUAAUUUAGAAUUUUUAUAUUAAAAUUUAGAAUUUUUGUUGGGGAAACAUGGGAAUAUAAAAAGCUUCCCUAACUAGAUAUUUAGUCCGUUAGUUAAAGCGAUUAUAGAAAAAGUAACCAUAGGGAUAACAGACUAAUUUCCUUUGAGAGUUCACAUUAACAAGGAUGUUUGGCACCUCGAUGUUGGCUUAAGAAUGUUACUAUGAAGCAGAAAUCUAGUAAACGGGCUUGUUCAGCCUUUAAAUUCUU
rnacentral:rRNA from 18 species